rnacentral:rRNA from 1 species
AGAUACCCGGGUAGUCCACGCCGUAAACGAUGUCUACUAGCUGUUGCCUUGCUAUUUUAUAGCAAGGUUGUGGCGUAGCUAACGCGAUAAGUAGACCGCCUGGGGAGUACGGCCGCAAGGUUAAAACUCAAAUGAAUUGACGGGGACCCGCACAAGCGGUGGAGCAUGUGGUUCAAUUCGAUGCAACGCGAAAAACCUUACCUGGCCUUGACAUCCUCGGAACCUCCCAGAGAUGGGGGGGUGCCUUCGGGAACCGAGAGACAGGUGUUGCAUGGCCGCCGUCA